rnacentral:lncRNA from 1 species
CUCCACAGUCCAGGAUAGAUGUUUGUUCCUUGGGUCUGACAGUUUGGAUUACUCGGAUCCUGGGGCUAACCAUCCUUUUCGGGGAGAGGCUCCCAGCUGGAAGAAGUGUGAAGUGAGGUAUGCUCCUGGAUCUUCUCCUUUGUACUUUCGUGUUGAAGAACUAUGCCUUGGGACUUGGACUUCUCCUUUGGAGUUCAUCUUGUGUGGGUGAGUAGCUGACCUUCCUUUCCUGGCUGGAGAGAUUGGUUCUGGAGAUCUCUGCUGUGGCUUUGGAGGAGGUUGCAUUGGGGGAAGUCUAGCUAAAGACACCACUGGUCAUGGCGAAAUCCCUG